AAUCUAUCAGACCUAACAUAUCACUUAGCCAAAUAUUAGACAUUUUACCUCCCACACUUAAUUUCUAUCUUCAUCUCUCCACACCCAACAUUCAACACUCAUCUUGUUCCAGCCCAGAGAAGAGAGAGAGAGAGAGAGCGAUUUCUUAGAAGAUGUUGUUAGAUUCAAAUCUGGAGCCAUCUAAAAGAUCAUAAAUCCAUAUUCGAGUGGGUCUACACCAACGAAAGCGAGAAAUCCAGAUUCGACUUGGUCUAGUCAUGGUGAAGAUGAGACGAUUAAGAACGGAGAAGAAGAUUGGGUGAAAAGGUUUCAGAGAUUGUAAAGAUGUGGGUUUUUGUGAUUUGAUCUGGUUUGGUAAGAUAUUGUGGUUCUAAGAGGAGUUUCGAUUUUCUCAGAACAAAUGGAGUUGCAGCGGUGGAGACGUGAAGAAGAUCGGAGAUAAUUUCCAGUGUUGGCGUUAGACGGGUAAGCAAAUCGUCGGGUCUAAUUUCACUCUCCCGGAAGCUAUAAUUCAAAUUUGUGGUUUCUAGUUAAGUUGUGCUCGGCUUUUUGUAUUAGAUGCAGCUGAGCUGGAAUAAAAGGGUGUUGAAGAGUCAUCACUUUAAUUCGUGAGUAACUGAGUAUGAAUGAUGUUAGGAUCCCACCUCUGUUUUAACCUCUAUGAUGAGUUUGUGUAUACUUGUGAAAUUUAAUCAAAAUGCUGGAUUCGUUUGCUAAUGUAAAUUGUAGUUGGUGUUUGAGCAAAUUUUAACCUUAAGUCGGAAGCUUUUCCACUCUCAAGGUCCUCGCUUCUUUUUUUCAUUCUUUCAGUGUGAUUGAUGUUGUAUUAAUAAUAUUAUUCUCAUGUAGCAAUUAAAUUUAGUGAUGAAGAGUUGCUACUGAAGCUCAUGAGCUUAUUUAUCUUUUAAUCGAUUCGUAUGAGCUGCUUAAACUUUUUCUGUUGUGUUGUUGUUCUUAUUCUCAUUUUCUUUUUUUUUUUGGUUGAAGAAAGGGGAUAAAAGAGCCAGAAAUGCUAGGACACAAGGUUAGGUUUUUUUGUUGCUAUACUGUGUUACUAAACAAGACCUUGAAACUCUUGGCUAGAGAGUCCGCUUCCUAUCAAUUUGUAUUGCUGCACUUGGUUUGACAUUUACUUAAAUGUGCAGCUUCUAAAAUACUUUCAGCUUAGUGUCUUUUCUUUCUCCAUUGCUAGUUUUAUCUGUGAGUCUUUCUCUCUUUGCCUCUAUGAUCUAGUCCUUAAUUUUGCAGUUGGAAGAUCAUCCCACUUAUUAGAAAAGGUUUUCUGUGGCCCCUUUUAUUUCCUUGUAUCAAUAGAAGAAUGAGGAUGUCCAACGCUUUUGAAGUUGUCAUGUCGUAUUAUCCUUAAAACUUGUAAGGUUCCAAGAUCAAUCUAAAGAAAUCGUAGAGAUCCUAGCCUUGUCCAAGAACAUGAUGAUCUACAGCUCCAUGUACCUUCUAUAUCUCCUCACUUUGGAUGAGUUACAUAUGUACAUGUUCUUAGAAGUUUGUCUCUAUUCUUUUUGGUCAUCUUAAUUUUGUUUUAAUUAAGAUUGGUGGCACUUGAUUUUAUGUAAGACUUGAUUUUAUGUAAGACCUCUUUUGGUUAAUGUAAUAUUAAUUUUAUGUA